AUUGAACGCUGGCGGCAGGCCUAACACAUGCAAGUCGAACGGUAACAGGAAGAAGCUUGCUUCUUUGCUGACGAGUGGCGGACGGGUGAGUAAUGUCUGGGAAACUGCCUGAUGGAGGGGGAUAACUACUGGAAACGGUAGCUAAUACCGCAUAACGUCGCAAGACCAAAGAGGGGGACCUUCGGGCCUCUUGCCAUCGGAUGUGCCCAGAUGGGAUUAGCUAGUAGGUGGGGUAACGGCUCACCUAGGCGACGAUCCCUAGCUGGUCUGAGAGGAUGACCAGCCACACUGGAACUGAGACACGGUCCAGACUCCUACGGGAGGUAGCAGUGGGGAAUAUUGCACAAUGGGCGCAAGCCUGAUGCAGCCAUGCCGCGUGUAUGAAGAAGGCCUUCGGGUUGUAAAGUACUUUCAGCGGGGAGGAAGGGAGUAAAGUUAAUACCUUUACUCAUUGACGUUACCCGCAGAAGAAGCACCGGCUAACUCCGUG
rnacentral:rRNA from 1 species